rnacentral:rRNA from 1 species
UGGGGAAUAUUGCACAAUGGGCGCAAGCCUGAUGCAGCCAUGCCGCGUGUAUGAAGAAGGCCUUCGGGUUGUAAAGUACUUUCAGCGGGGAGGAAGGUGUUGAGGCUAAUAACCUCAGCAAUUGACGUUACCCGCAGAAGAAGCACCGGCUAACUCCGUGCCAGCAGCCGCGGUAAUACGGAGGGUGCAAGCGUUAAUCGGAAUUACUGGGCGUAAAGCGCACGCAGGCGGUCUGUCAAGUCGGAUGUGAAAUCCCCGGGCUCAACCUGGGAACUGCAUUCGAAACUGGCAGGCUAGAGUCAUGUAGAGGGGGGUAGAAUUCCAGGUGUAGCGGUGAAAUGCGUAGAGAUCUGGAGGAAUACCGGUGGCGAAGGCGGCCCCCUGGACAAAGACUGACGCUCAGGUGCGAAAGCGUGGGGAGCAAACA